rnacentral:piRNA from 1 species
UAAAUCUUGUGUCUCUGGACAGAGUAGAUU